AAGAUCAGUUCCUACAAACUUAAUAGGAGAAUGACAUUCAGAUUUCCCAAAUAUUUUGCAUGUCCAACUGAAAACUGAAGUAGGUUUAUGAGAGAAUGCAUGCCUACCUGGAUGGGUCUGGGGAGUGUGUCACUGUCACCGCAGAUAAUUGACAAGGGCUGAUCAAAUAGCGAUGCUUUCAAGUCUGUCUCCAAAGCCCCAGAAAAAUCUGAUGCAGGGGAGAGCCUUCUCAUGAGAAAGGGCCAGGACAGCACCUUCUUUCUCUUCUUAACUUCUACAGCCAAGAAAACAAGGCAACGAGAAAAAUUAGACUACAGUGUUAAGAAGCAAAGAUCCAGGUGACUGGUCACCUGGGUUUUCCAGGUUGCUGCUUUAGGACAGAGGCAAAUACGAAUCGCUGCGGGAAGCCUUGAACCUAGAUCUGGCAACUGGGAAUUAUCAGCAAAACGUUAUCAAGAUAUUCUGUCCUUCCGAAAUCCACAAGAUGUGUGUGCAAUGGAUAUUGCAAUCUCAAACAUUUCCUUCUUUCUUUUCUUUUCCUUCCUUCCUUCCUUCUCCUUUUUUUACUAAUUAUAAAGGCUAUAUUUUCUAAAUGCAUUGGCAUCUGUUUCUAUACAUUUCAAAUUGGCAAGUGGAAGCAUGAUGAGAAAGAAGUGGCCUGUCUUUAUGGUUCAGGAGAACUGGGUCAGGGUUACGCUAUAAUGAAAUGCAUUAUGAAAAAAGUUGAGAGUGAAUGGUGGGUCCUUUGGGAUUUGAGAUCAGCAACAGUUGCUUCAUAGGCUCUUGGAUGCAUUCUCCAUAAGAGAAGGAAGAAAAUGGAAAAGACACUGUGUGUUUUUCAAAUGUGUGCAUGCUAAUUGUCGAAGCAUACAUGGC
rnacentral:lncRNA from 1 species